AACGCGAAGAACCUUACCUAAACUUGACAUCCCUUUGACCGCUUCUUAAUUGAAGCUUUCCCUUCGGGGACAGAGGUGACAGGUGGUGCAUGGUUGUCGUCAGCUCGUGUCGUGAGAUGUUGGGUUAAGUCCCGCAACGAGCGCAACCCCUGUCUUUAGUUGCCAUCAUUAAGUUGGGCACUCUAGAGAGACUGCCGAGGAUAACUCGGAGGAAGGUGGGGAUGACGUCAAAUCAUCAUGCCCCUUAUGUUUAGGGCUACACACGUGCUACAAUGGGCGGUACAACGGGUAGCAAGCUCGCGAGAGCAAGCCAAUCCCUUAAAGCCGUUCUCAGUUCGGAUUGCAGGCUGAAACUCGCCUGCAUGAAGUUUGAGUUGUUAGUAAUGGUGGAUCUGAA
rnacentral:rRNA from 1 species